rnacentral:rRNA from 1 species
CACACGGCCCAGACUCCUACGGGAGGCAGCAGUAGGGAAUCUUCCGCAAUGGACGAAAGAUCAAGUCUGACGGAGCAACGCCGCGUGAGUGAUGAAGGCUUUCAGCAGGGUCGUAAAAAUUGUUAGGGAAGAACAAGUGCUAGUUGAAUAAGCUGGCACCUGACGUACCUACCGGUGAGGCACACUGGGAUAC